CACACAGACAGACAGACAGACACACACACAGACAUACGGACAAGAUUGCAAAAUUAUGUUUUUCCGUAUCAGUGAGGUGUAAAACGUCGAGAUUUGUAAAAAUCUCGAUUUUUUUUCACGAUUACAAUACUUUCUCUAUACUUCGUAGAUCUAUAUACGAGAAAGUAAAAAGCGAAAGAAAACGCUUGAACCGAGCAUGCCUUACUUUCGCCAUUUUGGAUUUUUAGUGAAGUCGAUUUGAGACAGACUCUUCGAAUUAAAUGAAAAUAAAAUGUUUAACACCGCAAGUGAUAUAAGAUUUUGUGAUGAAUCGUCUGAUGAAGAUAUUGUGGAAACAGAAUUCGAAGAUUCAAACGAUGAUUUGGGAAAUAUCUCAGUUAAUAACUCAACACAACAUACAAGGCAAUAUCAAUACAAGGGAAUGUCAUCGGUUUGCUGAUGUUUGAAGACAAGACACCACAGACUUCCACCUCUGGCUUAUUUUAUGAUGUAGUUACCAUAUUGUCACAAUCAGUCUUGCGUGAGGCUUUCACAUAUUCGUAACCAUGGAUCUAAGCUGAGCUACUCCUUUUGACUCUGAAGAUAGUGAGUUGUCCAAUGACGAUUAAUAGAGAACGUGAACAUUACCCGGGACCUAUCAGAUGUUGUUGAUGAAGAUUUGUCUGACGUAGUUGAAGCGAAAAAUGAUGAAACUCCUCAGGACCUUCUCAAUUGUCUACAUCAAGGUCGUCUUUAGCUUCAACAGAAUGAUCAGUACCAGUAAACAGCAAAUGUUCCACCAUUUACUGAUCCUAGGAGAGAAGCCAAACCUCAGAAGCGGCAAUUGGAUUAUUUCAACGUCAUCUUUAUAGAUAAUCUGUGUUCAGACAAUUGUGUAUGAAUCCAACCUGUACUGUCCUCUAACAUAACAUCAACAGUCCUUAAGCAGUCAAUAAAGAUUAUUCCUGGAAAUUGGAUUUUACAUAAACAAUAUAAAUAUUUCCUAUACGCUGAAUGUUUUGUUGCCUUGCCACCAAAUGUACUAUGGUUACAGACUUCAUGACCAUCAAAAGAUUCAAGCGGAUUAAGAAUAAUCUACACCUGUCAAACAAUGUCCUGAACAGGACAAACAAUCCAUUAGCACUGGAUAAGAACCAACUAAAACAUUUCCUAGGAAUUGUGUGUAUUACAUAAAGAUUCUAAAAACUCCAAGAUGUCGAGUGUAUUGGAGCCAUGCCACCAAGUGUAUUACUAACUAUUACGGUAACAUAAGUCAUGACCUACAACGGAUUCAAUGGAUUAAGAAUAAUCCGCACCUGUCAAAUUAUGUCCUCAGCAGGACAUAAACAAUCCACUAGUACUGCAUAAAUACGAAAAAAUUUCCUGAAAAAUGUGUUUUACAUAAACAUUGUAAAAAUCAUUCUAGAUCCCAAAGAUAUUGGUGCCUUGCCACCUAAUGUGUUACUGUCACAGACAUAUCCAUCAAUAGAUUCAAGUGGAUUAAGAAUAAGCUACACCUGUCAAACAAUGUUCAAAGGGCAGAAGAAGUUGACCAAUAUUGGAAUUCUGUGCUUAUCAAACCCCAUGCCAACUGAGAUAAGUAUUGAUGAGCAAAUCUACCCAUUCACGUAUCGAGGGCAAAAGCAGUCAAACCUACAACCAUAAAAAGCCAUAUAGAUGAGUUCCAAAGUUUUUGUUGUGUCCAACAACUGUUGUAUAAUCCAAGCUUUUGAAGUGCAUGCAGGUAAAGCUACAAAAGGACGAGAGGACAUUGGUGCUGUUGCUAAUAUUGAGCGGACAUUAUUUCAGAGUGUUCCCCAAUAUGUUAGGAUCAAGCUUUACAUUGACAAUUGGUUCAUCAUUUAGUUGCAGGUUGUCCUGCACCAACAAGGCACUGAAGUUUUUAUUUGUCGUAUAGCAAACAAAUCAAAAUGUGAAUAUUUUACUAUAAACCCGCAUGUGAUUUUUCAGUUGUUUUUUUUACUAUAGUUACUCUCCAAUCCUGUGUACACGUUAUAUACAUUUCUAUAAACAAUUCUAUAUAAAUGAUUUUUUCUUAUGGAAAAAAAGUUUGACAGUUGCGCAUAGUUGCAGAAUUGCAACAACCAAAAUUGUUGUGAUAUUUAUCUAUUCAAAAUUUUCCUAAAUCUCAAGUUAGGCUAUUUGCUGUAGAGAUAUGAAGUCAAAAAUUUUUUUAAAUUUUACCAACUAAAACAAAUGUUUCAUGCAAUUUAGGGUUAAAGUCUGAAAUUCACUUUUGUACAUUCCAAACUGCAUUCAAAACCUGUUUAUUAGGCUAUACAUUUAUAGGCCUAUAGAUUGCAGGUUUAAAUUUUUUUCGUAGAUCUCCCCUUAAAAAUAACUUUUUGGGUAUCUAUUUUACAAUUUCCUUUAGUUUAACACAAACUCUAACUUCAGGCUGUCUGCUAAAAAAAAAACAACCCACAACCAACAUUUCAUUAUAAUAUUGGUGUAGUGGUGUAACAACUAUACUAUUUUUAAUGUAUAGUGGAUCCCUGCAGUGUUUCUUUUAAAGUUUCUGUGUGUGUGUGGGGGGGGGGGGGGGGUCAACAUGCUUCCGGGAUGAGUGUUGUAUGUAUUCUCAAUUCUUAAUUUUUAGUGUAGGAAGGGAUCAAGCCUUAUCUGCUAGAGGGUUUGAACUCUACUUUUUAUUUCGAAUUUAUCAUCCAUUGAUUUGGUAAGACUUGUAUUUAUCAUGUUUUUCUAUUAAACAUUGUUGGCAUAUAG